AUGUCCAUCACCGCUCGAGCUGUGGUGUCCACCCUCUGUACACCACAACGUGGAAGGAGAUACACGAGGCAAAGAAAAAAAUUACAGCUCUGCCACCAUCGGGACCAAUCUGUGAUACGUCCGGGCGCCUUGAGGGGGCAGCAGUCUGACACAACGAGGCCAGACACAGCCCUCAGAGGAAAAAUGCUUUCAGGGAAUGUCACGAUGCGUGACUGAAGAAAUCAUGAAAGCUAAGGGAAAGGAGACAACAAGGUGAAGUGAGCAGCAGUGGUGGCAGUGUGACGACCCAUACACAGAACUGUAAAAUGCACGGUUGGCUGCUGGGAUAUAACAGUAGUGUCGUAGUAGAUGACACGCAACCUGUGACGUCAGAGAGACGCAGUGCUGAUUUACGCAAGCACACGGACUCGAGGCUGCUUUGUGGUCCCGCCAGAUGGAGACGCAAAGCACAGAUACGGUUUCCACUGCAUAUCUUUGGCCAGGUU